UCUUUUAAAAAAAUUGGGUUCUCAUUCUUCCGUUUUUUAUGCUCUCCCCGAAACCCUUUGCUCUACUCUAACUUCUCAAGAGUCAAGACUGACAAUCGGAUCGAGCAACGAUUUCAACCCUCUGCAAUGCCGACAACGCGUGAUCACAAAGCAUAUUAGAGAUCCAAGAGGUAUUCGUCGGGGAGGAUUUACAGGCAACGCUCCAAGAAAUUUCGGCCCUAAUCCUCCACUUUAACAAGGUUGAUAAUAGGACGAAUCUAAAGGACUAGCCUCCUACAAAGCGUCCAUUGAGCUCUGCAGUUGUCAAGGUUGAGAAAAUUGAUAUCAUAACGAUGGGUCAUGCAUUACCUGCAAAAGGAGGAUUCUGCACUAGAAAUUUAAGAGACAAGCACAGAUUGUCACUUUUUGUACAAGUAUAAUAUCACAAAAGGGAGGCCCAAACUUGCUGCUAUUUACAUAUAUAUACAUAUAUUUGCUGCUAUUUUGCUGUUGUGUAUGCUCCAUUUGUACGGAGAUACUAUCCUUUAUUUAAAGAUUUGCACAAGUAUAAUAUCACAAAAGGGAGGCCCAAACUUGCAGCUUGGCUUAAGGCACUGGAUACUAUUGAGGCCUUCUGGAAAAUCAAAUAGGAUGACGAGCUGAGCAUAAAGACCUUUAAGAGGCGCAACCUGUACAUUUCAGAUUGUCAGUUUCCAAGUUAUGAAGAGCAGAUUGACGAAGUAAGAACCGAAUGGGUGCGCCAUGUUGUUCAACAAUUGUAUAAUUGCUAGGUUAUGUUCAAGGAACCAACAAACAUAAGACUAUUAAUUAAUGUAUUUUAUGUAGUUUAGAGUUUAGAAUUUUAAUUUAGAUCUAUGUAAUAGGUUUUAUUAUGGUGACAAUUGCAAAAAUUCUUUUAAUUGAGGUUUGAAAAUUAAUUUUUAACUAUUUACUAUUCUUCAAUAUAUGGUGUUAUU